GGAGUUUUUGGACUGUGAGCUAUUUCAGAACUCUGUUCUCAGGACCCAUUAUUUUAACAGUCAGGAGAAACACAUCCAGAAGAUGCACGCUAGGCCGAAGGAGGAGCGGAGAAUCUGAAGAUUUCAGAUGACAUCAGAGCUACUUUACAACAGCCUUCCCGAUUUCCUUUCUCAGAAAGUAGAGACAAACUCAGAGACAGAUGACAUACUAGGAAGGAACCAGACUUGGGUGAUGAAAAAGACACACUGUAUAAUUUAUACAUACGAUGCAACAUGCAGAAAGCUGCUUUUUCAAGUAAGUAUCUGUCCAGGUGUGAUGUGGACAUGGUAGUUUCAUACUUUCCCCAGUGA
rnacentral:lncRNA from 1 species